GGAAAAGCGCUGAGAGGAAAUAGUAGCGGGGUUCCCAUUCUAAAGAGAGCCGGUGGUUGGUGUAAACCGGUGGAUGGCACCUGUGAAUCCGUCCUUGAGCAAAGCAUGGAAAGCCGGAAGUCGCGGCCAGUAAGUGCUUUCGGGUCAAACCGUUAUGAAAUUGAGGUGGGUCGCAGUAUGCGGCCAACCAGGGUGGCAACGCGGGUCAACUCCCGUCCCUGUU
rnacentral:ncRNA from 2 species